GUCCUCUCAGGUGGCAGUUCGGAGCGUGAGGUCAAUUUAUAGCCAGAUGUCUUCGGCAACGUCAACUACGUUCCUCAGUGCGCGCUACACAAUCUUUGCGAGAGUCUACUAUACUGCAAACUGCAAUGAAAGUUUCGACGUAGUCCUGGAUUACCAUCAGGGAUGCUGAGCCAUUUCUCCGUGAACAAUAACUACUAUAAAUCAAGGUCGAGAAAUCGCCUGCAGAUAGCCGCG